rnacentral:lncRNA from 1 species
GAGUUGGUCAUUUGCUUCUUCUCAAUCUGGUCCAUCCUGGGCCUCUCAGGGUUCCACACUUACCUCGUGGCCUCCAACCUGACAACUAAUGAAGACAUCAAAGGGUCUUGGUCCAGCAAGAGGGGUGGUGAGGCCUCUGUCAACCCCUACAGCCAUAAAAGUAUUAUCACCAACUGCUGUGCUGUGCUCUGUGGCCCACUGCCUCCCAGGUUCCCUCUGUCCACCAUCCUCUGCCGAAUGACUCGGGAAUUCUGAGGAAGGCUGUCACGUAAUCACCUGUACUCAUUUGUAGAAUAAAAGUAAAGCCUCUAACCCCAGCACUUAAAGGCCGAAGCAGGAGGAUUGCUUCAUGUUCAAGACCACCCUAGGACACAGAAACUGUUUCAAAGGGUGGGGGGAGUACAAAAUAUUAAAAAACACUGGGCAUCCUGUUUAAUCCCACUCCUCAGAGGUGCCACAGUGACUGUCAGGACC